GAAGGGGNCAAGCGUUGCUCGGAAUUACUGGGCGUAAAGGGCGCGUAGGCGGACAUUUAAGUCAGGGGUGAAAUCCCAGAGCUCAACUCUGGAACUGCCUUUGAUACUGGGUGUCUUGAGUGUGAGAGAGGUAUGUGGAACUCCGAGUGUAGAGGUGAAAUUCGUAGAUAUUCGGAAGAACACCAGUGGCGAAGGCGACAUACUGGCUCAUUACUGACGCUGAGGCGCGAAAGCGUGGGGAGCAAACAGGAUUAGAUACCCUGGUAGUCCACGCCGUAAACGAUGAUUGCUAGUUGUCGGGCUGCAUGCAGUUCGGUGACGCAGCUAACGCAUUAAGCAAUCCGCCUGGGGAGU
rnacentral:rRNA from 1 species